rnacentral:rRNA from 1 species
CGUAACGAUGUCGAUUUGGAGGUUGUGGCUUCGGAGCUAACGCGUUAAAUCGACCGCUGGGGAGUACGGCCGCAAGGUUAAAACUCAAAUGAAUUGACGGGGGCCCGCACAAGCGGUGGAGCAUGUGGUUUAAUUCGAUGCAACGCGAAGAACCUUACCUGGUCUUGACAUCCAGGUGCUGCAUGGCUGUCGUCAGCUCGUGUUGUGAAAUGUUGGGUUAAGUCCCGCAACGAGCGCAACCCUUAUCCUUUGUUGCAACUCAAAGGAGACUGCCAGUGAUAAACUGGAGGAAGGUGGGGAUGACGUCAAGUCAUCAUGGCCCUUACGACCAGGGCUACACACGUGCUACAAUGGCAUAUACAAAGAGAAGCGACCUCGCGAGAGCAAGCGGACCUCAUAAAGUAUGUCGUAGUCCGGAUUGGAGUCUGCAACUCGACUCCAUGAAGUCGGAAUCGCUAGUAAUCGUAGAUCAGAUGCUACGGUGAAUACGUUCCCGGGCCUUGUACACACCGCCCGUCACACCAUGAGAGUUUGCAACACCCAAAGUCGGCGCCUAAGGUGGGGCAGAUGAUUAGGGUGAAGCGUAACAAGUAACCAAGG